AAAUUGAAGAGUUUGAUCAUGGCUCAGAUUGAACGCUGGCGGCAGGCCUAACACAUGCAAGUCGAGCGGAAACGAGUUAUCAGAACCUUCGGGGGACGAUAGCGGCGUCGAGCGGCGGACGGGUGAGUAAUGCCUAGGGAAUUACCCUGAUGUGGGGGAUAACCAUUGGAAACGAUGGCUAAUACCGCAUGAUGCCUACGGGCCAAAGAGGGGGACCUUCGGGCCUCUCGCGUCAGGAUAUGCCUAGGUGGGAUUAGCUAGUUGGUGAGGUAAGGGCUCACCAAGGCGACGAUCCCUAGCUGGUCUGAGAGGAUGAUCAGCCACACUGGAACUGAGACACGGUCCAGACUCCUACGGGAGGCAGCAGUGGGGAAUAUUGCACAAUGGGCGCAAGCCUGAUGCAGCCAUGCCGCGUGUGUGAAGAAGGCCUUCGGGUUGUAAAGCACUUUCAGUCGUGAGGAAGGCGGUGUAGUUAAUAGCUGCAUCGUUUGACGUUAGCGACAGAAGAAGCACCGGCUAACUCCGUGCCAGCAGCCGCGGUAAUACGGAGGGUGCGAGCGUUAAUCGGAAUUACUGGGCGUAAAGCGCAUGCAGGUGGUUUGUUAAGUCAGAUGUGAAAGCCCGGGGCUCAACCUCGGAAUUGCAUUUGAAACUGGCAGACUAGAGUACUGUAGAGGGGGUAGAAUUUCAGGUGUAGCGGUGAAAUGCGUAGAGAUCUGAAGGAAUACCGGUGGCGAAGGCGGCCCCCUGGACAGAUACUGACACUCAGAUGCGAAAGCGUGGGGAGCAAACAGGAUUAGAUACCCUGGUAGUCCACGCCGUAAACGAUGUCUACUUGGAGGUUGUGGCCUUGAGCCGUGGCUUUCGGAGCUAACGCGUUAAGUAGACCGCCUGGGGAGUACGGUCGCAAGAUUAAAACUCAAAUGAAUUGACGGGGGCCCGCACAAGCGGUGGAGCAUGUGGUUUAAUUCGAUGCAACGCGAAGAACCUUACCUACUCUUGACAUCCAGAGAACUUUCCAGAGAUGGAUUGGUGCCUUCGGGAACUCUGAGACAGGUGCUGCAUGGCUGUCGUCAGCUCGUGUUGUGAAAUGUUGGGUUAAGUCCCGCAACGAGCGCAACCCUUAUCCUUGUUUGCCAGCGAGUAAUGUCGGGAACUCCAGGGAGACUGCCGGUGAUAAACCGGAGGAAGGUGGGGACGACGUCAAGUCAUCAUGGCCCUUACGAGUAGGGCUACACACGUGCUACAAUGGCGCAUACAGAGGGCAGCCAACUUGCGAAAGUGAGCGAAUCCCAAAAAGUGCGUCGUAGUCCGGAUUGGAGUCUGCAACUCGACUCCAUGAAGUCGGAAUCGCUAGUAAUCGUGGAUCAGAAUGCCACGGUGAAUACGUUCCCGGGCCUUGUACACACCGCCCGUCACACCAUGGGAGUGGGCUGCAAAAGAAGUAGGUAGUUUAACCUUCGGGGGGACGCUUACCACUUUGUGGUUCAUGACUGGGGUGAAGUCGUAACAAGGUAGCGCUAGGGGAACCUGGCGCUGGAUCACCUCCUUA
rnacentral:rRNA from 1 species